rnacentral:rRNA from 1 species
GAUGAACGCUGGCGGCGUGCCUAAUACAUGCAAGUCGAGCGAACAGACGAGGAGCUUGCUCCUCUGACGUUAGCGGCGGACGGGUGAGUAACACGUGGAUAACCUACCUAUAAGACUGGGAUAACUUCUGGAAACCGGAGCUAAUACCGGAUAAUAUAUUGAACCGCAUGGUUCAAUAGUGAAAGACGGUUUUGCUGUCACUUAUAGAUGGAUCCGCGCCGCAUUAGCUAGUUGGUAAGGUAACGGCUUACCAAGGCAACGAUGCGUAGCCGACCUGAGAGGGUGAUCGGCCACACUGGAACUGAGACACGGUCCAGACUCCUACGGGAGGCAGCAGUAGGGAAGCUUCCGCAAUGGGCGAAAGCCUGACGGAGCAACGCCGCGUGAGUGAUGAAGGUCUUCGGAUCGUAAAACUCUGUUAUUAGGGAAGAACAAAUGUGUAAGUAACUAUGCACGUCUUGACGGUACCUAAUCAGAAAGCCACGGCUAACUACGUG